UCUUUAGCUCAGCUGGAUAGAGCAACUGCCUUCUAAGCAGUAGGUCGGGGGUUCGAGUCCC
rnacentral:tRNA from 1 species